GAUGAAGAACGUAGCGAAAUGCGAUACUUGGUAUGAAUUGCAGAAUCCCGUGAACCAUCGAGUCUUUGAACGCAAGUUGCGCCCGAAGCCAUUAGGCCGAGGGCACGCCUGCCUGGGCGUCACACGUCGUUGCCCCCCCAUCUACUCCUUCGGGAUUGCGGGGGGCGGAUGAUGGCCUCCCGUGCGCCUCGUCGCGCGGUUGGCAUAAAUGCCAAGUCCUCGGCGACGCACGCCACGACAAUCGGUGGUUGCGAAACCUCGGUUGCCCGUCGUGUGCGGUCGUCGCGCAUCGAGGGCUCGAAAAAAUUGUCGGGCUCCGGCUCGGCUUUCAACGCGACCCCAGGUCAGGCGGGGUUACCCGCUGAAUUUAAGCAUAUCAAUAAGCGGAGGA
rnacentral:misc_RNA from 1 species